GUGCCUGUGGGGGAGGGUCUCUGUGCUCCCAGCUGGAGGCCUCAAACCAAAAGAUGAGGGCCCUUCAUCUUGGUGCCACAGUGUCUGAAUCCCCCAGUAGAAGUGACCAAGAGGAGGGCCUGGAAGAGCUGGUGCAGGAUGAGUGUGUUUUGGGGAGGGCAAGGGACUGCACACCCUGUGAUUUGCCAGAAGCCAGCCCUGGGAGGUGAGGAGGAGGAGUGUGGUGUUCUUGGGGUGUGAAGGGAGUAGGAAUUGACGGGAGGCUGCUGAGGGUCCUAGGCUGCUCCUCGUGGGAACCCUUGGGUGGGCCAGGUGGCUGAGGGUGGGGACUUUUCAGGAGAGGGUCUACAUGGGGUCGACUUGAGAGCAAAGGUUCAUCCCACCCACACCCCGAUGUCACAAGGUGUUGUCCCCUAUCUUGGAACUCUGCUCAGUGACCUGCUGAUGCUGCACCUGGCGAUGGGUGACUAUUUCGAGGGGAAUGGGAUCAACCUUGAGAAGAGGACUGAGGAGCAGCUGUGGCACUCCCUGCAGGGGAGAGGAAGGAGGUGGAAAUCAGAGACCUUCUGGGCAGAACAGUCCUUGGCUCCACCCGCUGUAUGUUACAUUGAAUGGAAGAGUUUGAUACCAGAGAAGUGGGAGACCCAUCCAAUUGGCGACUACAGCUUGUCCUGCCAGCCAGAGCGCUAGACCUACUUGGCCUGCAGAGUAUGCAAGGCCAAGAAGAACCGGCCAUCAUCAAGGUCAGGGGGAGACUGAGAUCUCAAAAUUAUCAAGAAGCUGAAGCUCCCCAACUCCCGCUUCCUGGCUCCGAAUCCACCAUUCAUCACAGGGACAGACAAACAGAGGACACCUGCAGCUCCCCUAACUCAGCUAAACGCAGGCUGAUGGGAGGACGCCGAACUGCAAAGCCGCAGCUCCCCUCCCCCACCUAAAACCUUAUAAACUGUAAUGGUUAAUUGGCAAUAGUUGCCGUCCACACCCCAAGGCCAAAUUUCUGGUGAUGAGAGAAGAUUGGUUGAUGGAGCCCUAGAUCUCCCGCUGUAGAUAGAGAUGACAGCCGGCUUGGCGCCAGAAGACUGGGAUCCCUCCUCCAACAAAUAAUCAGUCACCAAGGAUAUAUUAUUUCCCACAGACUUUCCUUUAAAAGCCUCAACUCCUAAUGCCUCAGGAGGACUGUGGAUUUUGGGGCAUGUGCCCACUACAGCCUCAUUUUGCUGGCAAAAUUAAACCACUUUUCUUUUCCUCAGUCCCUGGUCAUUGCGUUCAUUGAUUCGGCUACGGUGACAGGGUCCUGGGUUUUUCUGGCUACAUUUCCUUGAUUUGUUCCUAAAUAAAGAUGGU